UACGUAGGGUGCGAGCGUUAAUCGGAAUUAUUGGGCGUAAAGCGUCCGCAGGUGGCACUUCAAGUCUGUCGUCAAAGACUGGGGCUUAACCCUGGAAAGGCGGUGGAAACUGAAGCGCUAGAGUGCGGUAGGGGUAGAGGGAAUUCCCGGUGUAGCGGUGAAAUGCGUAGAGAUCGGGAAGAACACCAGUGGCGAAAGCGCUCUGCUGGACUGCAACUGACACUGAGGGACGAAAGCUAGGGGAGCGAAAGGG
rnacentral:rRNA from 1 species